ACCUCGCGUCAGUAUAACCGCUUAAAAGUUGGCAAAAUAUUAUAUUCGGAGUGAAUUAGGCUCGAUUAGCUCUUUCAUUGAGUAAGUUGUUGCCUUUUUUAUAAUUAUAUUGUACCAAUUAGAUAAUCCUCCAGAUCCAGCAAAUCGCCAACUUACGUUGUUGAGGCGUGUUUUCGGCAAAGCCACUGGGGCUUAUUGAUUGGAUAAAAUUGUCCUAUUGCCAAGCGCUAGGCAGUUUGCUACCGUAACCUGGCACUCGAGUAGAGCGGAAGUUAGUAGGGGAACUAUUUUUGAGUCCUGUCGAUGACAGUUUCCCGUCAUUAAACGGCAUUAAGUCUAUCCGAGACAGACUACAGAAAAACCAAACAAGCUCAAAAAUAGCCCGCGGCUCUAGAAUUCGCCGCA